rnacentral:rRNA from 1 species
GACGACCGGCGCACGGGUGAGUAUCGCGUAUGCAACCUACCUCUGACUGGAGCAUAGCCCGAAGAAAUACGGAUUAAUACUCCAUAAUACUGCGAGAAGGCAUCUUUUUUCAGUUAAAGCUUCGGCGGUCAGAGAUGGGCAUGCGUAACAUUAGCUAGUUGGUGAGGUAACUGCUCACCAAGGCUACGAUGUUUAGGGGGUCUGAGAGGAUGGUCCCCCACACUGGUACUGAGACACGGACCAGACUCCUACGGGAGGCAGCAGUGAGGAAUAUUGGUCAAUGGGCGAAAGCCUGAACCAGCCAUGCCGCGUGAAGGAUGACGGUCCUAUGGGCUGUAAACUUCUUUUAUACGGGAAGAAACCUCUCUACGUGUAGAGGGUUGACGGUACCGUACGAAUAAGCAUCGGCUAACUCCGUGCCAGCAGCCGCGGUAAUACGGAGGAUGCAAGCGUUAUCCGGAUUCAUUGGGUAUAAAGGGUGCGCAGGCGGAGAAUUAAGUCAGUGGUGAAAUCCUGCAGCUUAACUGUAGAAUUGUCAUUGAUACUGGUUUUCUUGAAUGCAGUUGAGGUAGGCGGAAUGUGUAAUGUAGCGGUGAAAUGCUUAGAUAUUACCCAGAACACCGAUUUCGAAGUCAGCUUACUUAUCUCUGAUUUACUCUGAGGCACGUAAGUCUUUGGGAUCGAACAGGAUUAGAUACCCUGGUAGUCCACGCUGUAAACUAUGAUCACUCGUUGUUGGCAAUACAUCGUCAGCGACUGAGCGUAAGCAUUAAGUGAUCCACCUGGGGAGUACGAUCGCAAGAUUGAAACUCUAAGGAAUUGACGGGGGCCCGCACAAGCGGAGGAACAUGUGGUUUAAUUCGAUGAUACGCGAGGAACCUUACCUGGGCUUAAAUGCAUAACGACGGACCGGGAAACUGGUCUUUCUUCGGACGGCAUGCAAGGUGCUGCAUGGCUGUCGUCAGCUCGUGCCGUGAGGUGUCGGGUUAAGUCCCAUAACGAGCGCAACCCUUAUCAUUAGUUGCCAGCGGGUAAUGCCGGGGACUCUAAUGAAACUGCCGGUGUAAACCGAGAGGAAGGUGGGGAUGACGUCAAGUCAGCACGGCCCUUAUGUCCAGGGCUACACACGUGUUACAAUGGUCAGUACAGAGGGAAGCUACCAGGCGACUGGAUGCUAAUCUCAAAAACUGGUCUCAGUUCGGAUCGGAGUCUGCAACUCGACUUCGUGAAGUUGGAUUCGCUAGUAAUCGCGCAUCAGCCAUGGCGCGGUGAUACGUUCCCGGGCCUUGUACACACCGCCCGUCAAGCCAUGGAAGCCGGGGGUACCUGAAGUUCGUAACCGCAAGGAGCGA